rfam:Ciona savignyi cont_59558, whole genome shotgun sequence.
GCUGCGAUGGCCGAGUGGUUAAGGCGUUGGACUCGAAAUCCAAUAGGGUAUUCCCGCGCAGGUUCGAAUCCUGAUCGCAGCG